UCGAUCUCCAACCACCAUCCUUCAAAUUUGAAAUAUGAUUUUGUAUGACUCCAACGACCACUUUUAAGUGCAAUUGGUGCAUGAUCGGAACAAACUCUAGGUAGUAGUUCUUGCUUCACAUUGCAGAAACUCUCCCCCCAUUCAGAGGAGUACAUAAUUCUGUCUAUCCUCGAAACAGCUUCCAGGUUGGAUCCCCUGGCCCACGUGUAGUUCCCCC
rnacentral:lncRNA from 1 species